rnacentral:rRNA from 1 species
AGCAGCAGCCACGGUAAUACGGAGGGGGCUAGCGUUGUUCGGAAUUACUGGGCGUAAAGCGCACGUAGGCGGCUUGGUAAGUUAGAGGUGAAAGCCCGGAGCUCAACUCCGGAAUUGCCUUUAAGACUGCCGAGCUAGUAGGUGAGAGAGGUAAGUGGAAUUCCGAGUGUAGAGGUGAAAUUCGUAGAUAUUCGGAAGAACACCAGUGGCGAAGGCGGCUUACUGGCUCAUUCUAGACGCUGAGGUGCGAAAGCGUGGGGAGCAGACAGGAUUAGAUACCCGAGUAGUCCCUGUCUCUUAUAC